AUUCAGUUGACGAGUUCCAAAUAGGAUGAAAUGCGUGUCCUGAAU
rfam:Schistosoma curassoni strain Dakar, Senegal genome assembly, scaffold: SCTD_contig0001036